rnacentral:tRNA from 1 species
GAGGACGUAGCCAAGUGGACCAAGGCAGUGGAUUUUGAAUCCACCACGCACGGGUUCAAUUCCUGUCGUUCGCC